GGGAAUCUGCCCUUGGGUUCGGAAUAACAGUUAGAAAUGACUGCUAAUACCGGAUGAUGUCUUCGGACCAAAGAUUUAUCGCCCAGGGAUGAGCCCGCGUAGGAUUAGCUAGUUGGUGGGGUAAAGGCCUACCAAGGCGACGAUCCUUAGCUGGUCUGAGAGGAUGAUCAGCCACACUGGGACUGAGACACGGCCCAGACUCCUACGGGAGGCAGCAGUGGGGAAUAUUGGACAAUGGGCGAAAGCCUGAUCCAGCAAUGCCGCGUGAGUGAUGAAGGCCUUAGGGUUGUAAAGCUCUUUUACCCGGGAUGAUAAUGACAGUACCGGGAGAAUAAGCCCCGGCUAACUCCGUGCCAGCAGCCGCGGUAAUACGGAGGGGGCUAGCGUUGUUCGGAAUUACUGGGCGUAAAGCGCGCGUAGGCGGCUUUGUAAGUUAGAGGUGAAAGCCCGGAGCUCAACUUCGGAAUUGCCUUUAAGACUGCAUCGCUUGAAUCAUGGAGAGGUCAGUGGAAUUCCGAGU
rnacentral:rRNA from 1 species